CACACACACGGGGCGUCUCUCAUCAAAGCUUUGAGUCGGGGUGCAUCCCUCCAGUCUGCUUGGACAGAAGAUGAUGAACUACUGCUGCUGUGGAGUUUUAAAGUGACAGUUAAUGGUUUUAAACGAAAGUGAAAGUGACGAUGGCGGCCAUCUUUUUAUAGACACACCUGCAACGCAACCUAACGCAACGCAACCUAACGCAACACAACCUAACGCAACGCAACGUAGCGCUGCUGCUCAUUGGGGAACGGGCAAUGAAAUCAGAACAUAAACUGAUCAGAUGAGCUCCUGUUUAACUCACUGAAUGUAAUAGUUUCCUCCGUGUGUGUGUGUGUGUGUGUGUGUGCGGUGUGUGUGUGUGUGUGCGUGUGCAUGUGUGUGAUCACCUGAGAGCUGCACAGGAACCUGAGAGCGCUCUGGUGAGCGAGGUCCUGACAGCGUCGGCUGAAUUAUUGAGACGCACUCGCACACAAAGCUAACGCAUCGCUGGGCUCCUCCCGGUCAAUGGCUCCCCCGGGUCGGGUUGAACACCUGGAGGCGGGAGGGGAGGGAGGUGAAGGAGAGAGGAGAUGAUGAGGAGGAGAGGAUGCAUGAGAGGACUCAGGAGAAACGAGAGCCCAGGAGAUAAGAGGGGAGGGAACAAAAAGAAAUAUGGACACAAAAGAGGAGGACAGAAGAGUUUAGCAAAGAAAGGAAACUAUUGUAGAAGGGAGGAGACGAUGACAUGAGUGAAAAGAAGGAACAGAAAAACAAAACAAGGAGCGGUGACAAAAGAAGUGGGGGAAACACAGAAGAGGAUGAAGAGGAGGAGAAGAUGAAGAGUGAGAGGUGCAAAUGAGGGAGCGAGGAAGAGGGGAGGAAGAGAAGCGGAAGAGGGGAAGAGGACUAGAAGAAAUGGAGAAGAGGAGGGAAAGGAGGAGGAAGAGGAGAUGGGGUGAGCUGUGUGUGUGUGUGUGUGUGUGUGUGUGUGUGUGUGUGUGUGUGUCUGCACUAAGAGGAAUCUCCCCCUCUCAGCAUCUACAAACUCUGAGACGAGGGGCUUCUUUUUUUCUGUUAAAUCCUCGGCCAAUCAGCGACCCCCUUGCUCCUCCCGGG
ensembl:lncRNA